rnacentral:rRNA from 1 species
GAUGAACGCUGGCGGCGUGCCUAAUACAUGCAAGUCGAGCGAACAGAUGAGAAGCUUGCUUCUCUGAUGUUAGCGGCGGACGGGUGAGUAACACGUGGGUAACCUACCUAUAAGACUGGGAUAACUCCGGGAAACCGGGGCUAAUACCGGAUAAUAUUUUGAACCGCAUGGUUCAAUAGUGAACGACGGUUUCGGCUGUCCCUUAUAGAUGGACCCGGGCCGUAUUAGCUAGUUGGUAAGGUAACGGCUUACCAAGGCGACGAUACGUAGCCGACCUGAGAGGGUGAUCGGCCACACUGGAACUGAGACACGGUCCAGACUCCUACGGGAGGCAGCAGUAGGGAAUCUUCCGCAAUGGGCGAAAGCCUGACGGAGCAGCGCCGCGUGAGUGAUGAAGGUCUUCGGAUCGUAAAACUCUGUUGUUAGGGAAGAACAAAUUUGUUAGUAACUGAACAAGUCUUGACGGUACCUAACCAGAAAGCCACGGCUAACUACGUGCCAGCCGCCGCAGUAA